rnacentral:rRNA from 1 species
CCUACGGGUGGCAGCAGUGGGGAAUAUUGCACAAUGGGGGAAACCCUGAUGCAGCAACGCCGCGUGAAGGAAGACGGUUUUCGGAUUGUAAACUUCUGUUCUUAGUGAAGAAUAAUGACGGUAGCUAAGGAGCAAGCCACGGCUAACUACGUGCCAGCAGCCGCGGUAAUACGUAGGUGGCAAGCGUUGUCCGGAAUUACUGGGUGUAAAGGGAGCGCAGGCGGGAAGCCAAGUCAGCUGUGAAAACUACGGGCUUAACUUGUAGACUGCAGUUGAAACUGGUUUUCUUGAGGGAAGUAGAGGUUGGCGGAAUUCCGAGUGUAGCGGUGAAAUGCGGAGAUAUUCGGAGGAACACCGGUGGCGAAGGCGGCCUGCUGGACUGCGACUGACGUUGAGGCCCGAAAGCGUGGGGAGCAAACAGGAUUAGAUACCCGUGUAGUC